rnacentral:rRNA from 1 species
UCGCGCAAACUUUGCAAUACACGAAAGUGUGACAGGGCUAUCCCGAGUGCCGUCCGCUGAGGAUGGCUUUUACCCAGUCUAGAACGCUGGGGGAAUAAGGAGAGGGCAAGUCUGGUGUCAGCCGCCGCGGUAAUACCAGCUCUCCGAGUGGUGUGGAUGUUUAUUGGGCCUAAAGCAUCCGUAGCUGGCCAGGCCAGUCCCCUGUUAAACCCACCGAAUUAAUCGUUGGAUCGCGGGGGAUACUGCCCGGCUAGGGGACGAGAGAGGCAGACGGUAUUUUCGGGGUAGGGGUGAAAUCCUAUAAUCCCGAGAAGACCACCAGUGGCGAAGGCUGUCUGCUAGAACGCGCCCGACGGUGAGGGAUGAAAGCUGGGGGAGCGAACCGGAUUAGAUACCCGGGUAGUCCCAGCUGUAAACGAUGCAGGCUAGGUGUUUGGACGGCCACGUGCCGUUCUAGUGCCGCAGGGAAGCUGUUAAGCCUGCCGCCUGGGGAGUACGGUCGCAAGAUUGAAACUUAAAGGAAUUGGCGGGGG